rnacentral:lncRNA from 1 species
AACAACGGGUUACAGCCUACGGAUCGGCACCGCUCCCAGCCGCUCCUGCCAACAGCGCUGCGCGGGCUCAGCACACCGAGCUCCUCAAGACGGGUACAGUCCGGCGCGGUUCGAAGGGCGAAGCUGGAAAAAGAACGAAGCCACGGGAACCCACGGCGACAAGAGGGGGAGGCCCGCCGUCACACAGCGCCGAUCCUCCGCUCAGUGUCCAGCGCUGCCCUCCUGCCCGGCCUCACGGCGCACUGCGGCCCUCCCCGGCCCCGCGCGGCGCUGGAGGCUCCGGGCCGCCCGUCCCGGCCGGGCCCCCCCUCGGCGGCGGCGGCUGCGGCGGCGUGGGGCCGGGGGGCGGCGAAGCGGCGGAACGCGGCGGCGGAGCGCUGCGGGGCUGCGAGGAGGAGUUGGCGGCGGGGCCGGGCAACGCGGGGAGUUGGCGGCGGGGCCGGGAACCGAGGGAGGAGAAGCAGAGGAACCGCCGCCUCCGCGCACCGGCUGCCAGAUGAGGCUGUAGUAGACGGCGAGGACGAUGGCGGCCAGCGAGACGGAGAGCACGUAGGCCAGCACGGUGGCCAGGCGCACCCACUUCUUGUUGGUCUUGGCCGCCAUGCGAGCCUUCUUGUCCCCGGUGUAAGUGGCGGGCUUGCCCCGCUCCGCCCCGGCCUCCUUCUCCUUCAUGGGGGCCCGGCCCUUGGCCCGCUGCUCCACCGACCCCUCCGUGGUGGCGGGGGCUGCGCGCCGCCGCCGCUCCGCUCAGGACAUGCCGCUGCCGCCUCCGACCGCUGCCCGCGCUGCUCCGCCGCGGGGCGGCCUCUGAGCGCCGGCACCGCCCGGGCGGGGUUGCGGGGAGGAGGGGGCUGCGCCUGCGCGGCGCGGCCGAGGAGGGGCGGGGGCCGCCGGGGCCGUGUGAGGAGGGGGCGCGCGCCCUUUCCCAAGAUGGCCGCUGCGCGCCGCUCUGAGCGCCCUGAGGCUGCUGGGGGCUCUCUGAGCGGUGAGGAGAAGGAUGGCUCCCCGCUAGCGCGGGAGGAGGGCGCGCAUCUAAGGCAGAUUUCCGUGCUGCAAGCUUGUGUCAGAAUGGUGCAGGCGAGCAGGAGCGGGGGGGGGACCGUCUCUCAGCGCUGGGGCACAUCUCGAGGCCGUGCUCGGUUUUGGGCCGCUCCCUACGUGACAGACAUGGAGGCCCUGGAGCGUGUCCAGAGAUGGGCAACGGAGCUGUAA